GUCGCAAGACCAAAGUGGGGGACCUUCGGGCCUCAUGCCAUCAGAUGUGCCCAGAUGGGAUUAGCUAGUAGGUGGGGUAACGGCUCACCUAGGCGACGAUCCCUAGCUGGUCUGAGAGGAUGACCAGCCACACUGGAACUGAGACACGGUCCAGACUCCUACGGGAGGCAGCAGUGGGGAAUAUUGCACAAUGGGCGCAAGCCUGAUGCAGCCAUGCCGCGUGUGUGAAGAAGGCCUUCGGGUUGUAAAGCA
rnacentral:rRNA from 1 species